GACGAACGCUGGCGGCGUGCUUAACACAUGCAAGUCGAACGAUGAAGCCGGAGCUUGCUCUGGUGAAUUAGUGGCGAACGGGUGAGUAACUCGUGAGUAACCUGCCCUUGACUCUGGGAUAACUGCGGGAAACUGUAGCUAAUACCGGAUACGACCCUCGGAGGCAUCUCCUGGGGGUGGAAAGAAUUUCGGUCAAGGAUGGACUCGCGGCCUAUCAGCUAGUUGGUGAGGUAAAGGCUCACCAAGGCGACGACGGGUAGCCGGCCUGAGAGGGUGACCGGCCACACUGGGACUGAGACACUGCCCAGACUCCUACGGGAGGCAGCAGUGGGGAAUAUUGCACAAUGGGCGCAAGCCUGAUGCAGCAACGCCGCGUGAGGGAUGACGGCCUUCGGGUUGUAAACCUCUUUUAGCAGGGAAGAAGCGAAGGUGACGGUACCUGCAGAAAAAGCACCGGCUAACUACGUGCCAGCCGCCGCGGUAA
rnacentral:rRNA from 1 species